AUUGAACGCUGGCGGCAGGCCUAACACAUGCAAGUCGAGCGCGCGGCGGACGGGUGAGUAAUGUAUGGGGACUGCCCGAUAGAGGGGGAUAACUACUGGAAACGGUGGCUAAUACCGCAUACUAUCGGAUAACCCAUAUGGGAUUAGCUAGUAGGUGGGGUAAAGGCUAACCUAGGCGACGAUCUCUAGCUGGUCUGAGAGAAUGAUCGGCAACACUGGAACGGAGACACGGCCCAGACUCCUACGGAGGCAGCAUGGGGGAAUAUUGCACAAUGGGCGAAAGCCUGAUGCAGCCAUGCAGCGUGUAUGAAGAAGGCCUUAGGAUUGUAAAGUACUUUCAGCGGGGAGGCGUUACCCGCAGAAGAAGCACCGGCUAACUCCGUGCCAGCAGCCGCGGUAAUAC
rnacentral:rRNA from 1 species